CUUAUUCUUUUUCACUGUGUUUACAUUUGCUCACCUCAAUUUCUGUUGUAUAUUUCAAUCCAUUCGUACUCUCCUCGGUUCGGUUUUCCAACCUCGCGGCUUCCUGUCUUGAUUUCGGUUUUCCAACCUGACGGCUUCCUGCCUCGGUUACGGUUUCUCCAACCUAACGGCUUCCUGCCUUGAUUUCGGUUUUUCCAACCUGACGGCUUCCUGCCUCCACCAUGCAAAGCACCGGUUACUACUGUGAAGUAGUAUGUGAACAAUACAAUCUUAUUAGAUUUAUGCAAAAGUCCAGUUGGAAAUAAAAUUCCAGUUAAAAAGGAAAACAAAAAGUAAGAUGGCCGCCCCGUGGCUUUCGGUGAUCGCAUCAGCCGAAAUUUGAUUUUCAACAUAACAUCAAAUAUUUUGUCGAUUUCCAUAAACUCUUACCUGUAAACUGAAGAAAAACUAUCCCUUCGUCGCCAAAUGUGAUAGGUGGUUUGGUACUAGUUGGAUUAUCGUCGUGAAAUGAAUACUAACUCGGAGUAGAUUUAAGCACAUUGUUUAUUUACGCACGUCGAGUGCCGAGAGCGAGACGGCCCAGUGGGCUUGCACGUUUAUGAAUAGGCAUGAGAAUCAGCACAUCACCACAAUUGUAAUUUUUGUUUGUUUUUUUAAGGUGCUGGGAAUCUGCGCUGCUACGUCCCCCGUUCGAGCCGGCCAAAUAACUACAUCCUCCGUCGCCCAGGCCCCAAUAGUCCUGCCGUACUGAUUGAGGUACGGGAAAUCUGGGCAACCGACGAUCUGCGCUGCUACGUCCCUCGUUCGAGCCACCCGGACUUAUUUCGUCAUGUCAGCAAGCCCAGUAGCCACUUCGCAAGACGCCUUCGGUCAUUCUCUAGUUCAUGUCAACAUGCGCAAGAUAUGGCAGUCGACGUACACUAUGGUGCAGAAAGUGUUUCCACGAGGACUUUAGCAGUGGCGAAGAAGGUGGUGCGUCUACCCCAGCUCACAGCAAAUUGGAAGACGACGUCUGCUGGUACGAAGGCAUCCUGUUGCAUGAGAACUUCCACGAAAUCGAGCCCAUCCGCUUCAGCUUGAGGAACUGAUCAAACAGAAACAACACAUUGAUCAGAACGACGAUCUCAGCUUGGAGAAGCUGUUGCAGAUCAGCGAGCUCAGUUUCAACACCAAGACGGGCAGCAUGGCGCUAGAAGACCUCGUUCUUACCUUCACUUAUCUACGGAGCUCAAACUUCUACGGUUACCAGUCGGUGGAUUUGAUCCCGAACGGGGCCAACAUCGACGUCACAAUCAACAAUGUCAAGGAGUAAUGCAACUUAACGGUCAAUUUCUACCUGUAGGAGGGCAUCGGACAACAGCUUGUCGCGUUACACUGCGGCUUCUGCGAGGUGUUCCCGUUGAACAAUCUGACAGCAAUCUGGAACAUGCUGUGCAGGCAACCCUGAGUGGGCCCGGGAAGACAUUUCGACCUACACUGAACCAAUGCAAGUCUUCCAGCAAAACUCGGGCCCGUCUGCGGACCAAACAACAUCAAGUAGGUCCGAGGUAUGACCACGAUGGCUACUUUACUUACUUUUACUUUUACUGCUCGUACAACCUCCGGGUCAUGAGCUGUCUCCAGAUGC
rnacentral:lncRNA from 1 species